UUACACAUGCAAGUCGAACGGCAGCACGGAGCUUGCUCUGGUGGCGAGUGGCGAACGGGUGAGUAAUGCGUCGGAACGUAUCCAAUAAUGGGGGAUAACGCAGCGAAAGCUGUGCUAAUACCGCAUACGCCCUGAGGGGGAAAGCAGGGGAUCUUCGGACCUUGCGUUAGUGGAGCGGCCGACGUCUGAUUAGCUAGUUGGUAGGGUAAAGGCCUACCAAGGCGACGAUCAGUAGCUGGUCUGAGAGGAUGAUCAGCCACACUGGAACUGAGACACGGUCCAGACUCCUACGGGAGGCAGCAGUGGGGAAUUUUGGACAAUGGGGGAAACCCUGAUCCAGCCAUUCCGCGUGAGUGAAGAAGGCCUUCGGGUUGUAAAGCUCUUUCAGGAGGGAAGAAACGAUUAUGGUUAAUAACCAUGAUUAAUGACGGUACCUUCAGAAGAAGCACCGGCUAACUACGUGCCAGCAGCCGCGGUAAUACGUAGGGUGCGAGCGUUAAUCGGAAUUACUGGGCGUAAAGCGUGCGCAGGCGGUUUAUCAAGUCUGAUGUGAAAGCCCCGGGCUUAACCUGGGAACUGCGUUGGAAACUGAUAAACUAGAGUACGGCAGAGGGGGGUAGAAUUCCACGUGUAGCAGUGAAAUGCGUAGAUAUGUGGAGGAAUACCGAUGGCGAAGGCAGCCCCCUGGGUCGAUACUGACGCUCAUGCACGAAAGCGUGGGUAGCAAACAGGAUUAGAUACCCUGGUAGUCCACGCCC
rnacentral:rRNA from 1 species